UGACACAUUUCAAGAAUGGCGUCUAAUUGUCGAGGGAACGCAAGUGCUUCGGGACAAAGAGGUCGGAAUGCUUCUAAUGAAACUAGAACUAGAACUACAGAGAGAUUUAAAUGGACGUACGAACAAGAGAAAAAAUUGAUUGAAUUGUUUGAUGAGGCAAUUUCCAUGUCAAAUUAUAGUCUCAAAGAUCCUAAGGCUCAUGGCAGAGUAUAUGGUUGAAAAUUCAAUCUUGCAUUUAACAUGAAUAUAACUUACGCAUUUUUCAAAAAUAAGCUUGAUGAGUUCAAAAAAUCAUACAAGAUGUAGAAGUUUCUGAUGAAAUCCACCGGCAUUUCGGUGGAUCCUGAAACAUCUAUGAUUUACGCAUCUCCGGAGUGGUGGGAUAAUCACGAGGCGGUAAUAAUUAAUAAAUAUUAUAUUUAUAUUAUCAACUAUUAAGACACAUAUAACUAAAUUGAAAUUAUAUAUAUAUAUAUAUAUAUAUAUAUAUAUAUCUUUUAUAUGGAUGUAAAAUAACAAAAUCGUUCAACCGAGAGACACCAAAAUUUUGGGAUGUAAUGGUACGGUAUUUUGCAUUACAUGAUGUAUAUUCGCAACCACAAUAUUCUGCGCGACAAAGAAGAAAAGAGAUAAUGAAUGAGGGACGAGCUGAUGAUUCCACACAUGGAAACUCAUAUUUCAAAGGGGGUGACAUGCCAGACACUGAAGUUCUAGAGAUUAAAGAAAAUGAAGAAGUAUAUCGCGUCAAGAUAUGAAUGAGAGGUAUAUGGCAGAGAUCAAGUCACAAGAUCCUGGAAAUUCAAUUGUGGGACAUAAGAUGAGUGUGGUCCCAUAUUGGAAAUUUAGACAAAGAGUGUCUGAUAUACAAAGAGAUGUCAAACUCUAAUUAGUACGAAUGCCUUUUGGGAAAGAUCCCAAAAGUAAAUUCAUGCGGACUUGUCUCUUAUGCCCAAAGUGGAAAAUAUCGUACUAAUCAGACAAUAAAGAAUUAGACAUGAGCUUAAUAAAUCCCAACACCCUCAACGUCAGACCGCAUCUUUUGUCCUUUGUCUCGAACAGAACCAGGAUUGAUCGAUCUGGUUGGUCGGCUCGUUUCCAACCAACUUUCUGGAUAUUUUCAGAACAGGUACCUGGAAUUUUAGCUAUUUUCAUGUUGACCCUAAAUUUCUUUAAUUUGCACAUUGUCCUUUUUAUUUUAUAUCAAAGAAAAUGGACACAUAUAAGCAAUGUAGACACCUAAAUACACAUCUAAACAGCGUAAAACAACAUAUAUCAUUGUAUAGAAAUUUUAAAAUAUGUAUUUAGAAAUGUAAGAAGACAAAUCAAAUUGAUAUCACUCAAUUACUCUAAGGAGUGAUUUACUCUCUCAAAUAAGAGGUUCAACUGUUGUAUUUAUGGAUCUAAUCCACAAGGAACUAGGACACACAAUAGAUCUAAACAGUUUAUGAUUAAGCUAGGUAAAUUAUGAAAAUAGUAAAUUGCAAGUAAGCGAACAAGGUAGUUGUUCAGUUGAUUGGUUUAAGGUUUUGUAAACAAUUAUUAGAAAGCAUUAGAUCUAGGGUUUCUAUUUAGGUAGUUGGCAUUAUAGAGGUAUAUAAUACUUAAAUGUCAAUCCUAGAACUCGACUUAUAGUGUAAAGAUAUCCAGCUUUUGCAUGUGAGUCUUAUGUUUUGACUAAGUCCAAUAUCUUAGAUGCCGCUUGUUGAUACGAACUGAACGUCGAUCGAUGUUAUGGUAAGAAUGUCGAUCGAUGUUCUCUUAGACGUGCGUUAGCGAGUUGAUCGAUAGGUCACUAGUAUUAUCUAAAUCAGCUUCCGCUUGUUUCUAGCAAUAAUAGCUCAAAUGAAUUAGUUUUGGUGCAGAACCUACCGACGUAGCAGAACCUACCGUCGUAGUUGUCCACAAUCCUAAGUUCAAGGUUCUAUUAAUUAACCAUAAUUCUUUGAAGGAUAUUUAUCACCUUAGCAAUUCUAUAUUUUGGGCUAAUCCCUCUUAACCGAUUUGGACCCUAAAUCUAGCAAGUGAAUUACUCAUACAUAGCAAAACAAUUCAUAAGCAUAAACUGAAUAAAAUGCAUAAACAGAUUAAAGUUAGAAAUACAGGAGUUCCAAUACAAAUCUCUGAAGGAGUCUUGGAUAUUCUCUCCAAAUCUACUAAAAACCCUAAGUGUUGUUUGAUGUGAAAAGUAGAAAGUAAAAAAGCGUGUUUUGCCUAGAACAAUGACAGAGUACAUAAAUAUUAGGUUAAAAGUCGGAAAGGGGUAUUUCUUUAAACAUGUCGUGACUUGGGAUUUUAGCUUGCUGGAAACCUAGCUGAGUUUUGCGCGGUUUCGCUGUCGAUCGACGGUACAGGGUGUGCGUCGAUCAAUGUUUGUCUCUGAUCGUCUACAUUCAGACAUGUUCGAUGGUCAGCUACGAGCUUCCUCUCAUUUUAUCUCUAAAAUGCAUCCAAAUCAUCGCUUUUUACAAAACACUCAUGAACAUGUACAUGUGUUAAAAAGACUUCAAAACAUAAUAAAUAGUUCCUAAAAUACCUAUAUACCAUGGCUAAAAAUGGGUAAAAUCAAUGGUAUAUCAAAAACCUAAUGAAAAAAAAAAAUCCAUAUUUUAGCCUAACUAGAUCUAAAAAACUAGCUAAUUCAAUUUAGAGUAACUGUUGUAAUUUGAUAUCUCAUGAUUUUAAUAAGUUUUAGAUUCAUCUUUUACCUUAUUAUGAUCAUUUUAGGUUGCAUUUAGGUCUUUGUGUUGCAUAUGCAUACUCAUUUGCAUAUCAUAAGGUUUGGAAUGCUCGUUUGAGAAGUUUGGGGCUAAACCGUGGGUUAUUCUUGCAAUUUACAAAGUUUGGGUCCGAAUUGAAAACAUCCAGAAGUUCAAGGUCCAUCUCUGCAAAUUUAGAAUACUCGCUUGGGUUAUUUUUGACAAUCAAAA